rnacentral:rRNA from 1 species
AUGGCCAUACCAUGCUGAAUAUACAGGUUCUCGUUAGAUCACCGAAGUCAAGCAUCAUUGGGCGCGGUCAAGUACUUGGCUGGGUGACCAUCUGGGAACACCGCGUGCCGUU